GUACUUGCUUUGGCAGCACAUAUACUAAAAAUUAAAACAAUACAGAAAAGACUAGCAUGGCCCCCACAAAAGGAUAACAUGCAAAUUCAUAAAGCACUCCAUAUUUUU